GGGACCUUGCUGCUCUAUUGUCAUUGAUUUACUUUCUUUUGUGUUACAACCAGCUCAUCUGUGGUUUUUUUUUUUUUAAUGCUGUAGGAUUAAAGAGUGCUUGUGACAAGAGAAAACAGAUCUCCCUUUUUGAUUCUGUGGGUGAAAUGGCCAGAGCAAGGAGAAGAGGCCUCACUGUUAAGUAACAGCAGCUGCUUUACGAAGAGACUGUAUUUCAACUUGAGGGGGAAUGACACAUGCCUAGACCACAACUUCAGUUGGCAGAGACACCAUCUCUGUUCCACUGUAACACUUCCCUAAAGUUCCCCCUUCCAGAGGGAAAGAGGAAUUUGAGGAAAUUUUCUUUAUAUCACUGCGCUUCUCUCUUCAUUAUGAAGCUGCUCAAUGCGCCUGCAGAAUCUGCGUGUAUUACAGAAGUCAUGGGAAGAAAAAAGCAGAGCAAAACUUGUUUCUGGAGAGAAGAAAAAGUGCUACAAAAGGCAUUAAAAAAAAGAAGAAGAAGAAGAAGAAGAAGCACUCCUAUUAUUUCCUUUCUGAAAAACCACUUUGGAUUUUCAGCUCAAAAUGACUUUUCAUAUUUGAAAUCCCUGUAGGAAUAUCAUGUCACCGUAUUUUUAUAAUUGAAAAAGUAUGAUGUGUUGCACAAAGUCCCAGCAGAAAUGUUCUGUUUCAGCCUCAACUGUUUUAUCUUUCACUUCUUUAUUUUCAGACGUUUCCAAAGAGAUCGAUCGCUAUAACUCCAAAAACAAACUGUACAUUUUAAAUGCUGAAACUCAUCUCUCCCUCACUCAUCCUGCUUCAUCCCCCUUGCAGCCAGCUGCUGGCACUGAUGCACUGCAAGGUUUACCCUAAGAGCAAGCUCUCGCUAUCCUGGCAGCACGCUGGCCACAUCUGAGCAGUGCUGCAGUUUGGGGUAACAUGCAGCCCAGCACAAAGCAGCAUCCGCUAGAAAACAAAAUCUGCUCAUUUCAUACAAAUUCUGGAAGUGUUCAUUUACCCCAGCUAUUUCUUGAAAAAGACUAACAGAAGGGUGGAGAUAGAGCUGGGGGUUACAGAGUAAACAGUUUGGAACAGAGCAGGGUUGGCUGGUGAGCACGCUGUGACUCACAAGGGGAAGGCUUUUUUUAAUCCCCGGAGCUGUGCAGCAAGGACAGCCGUGCAGUCAUCUUCCUGUACCAAACAAAGGUGCAGCCCGCGGGUGCAGCCCCAACCCAGGGACAAUGGGACACGGGCUGUCGUCCUGGCCCACGGCACCCAACGAUCCCACAGCCAGGAGGCUGCUGUAACACUGGGGCUGAGCGAGUCAAGCCCUGUCCCCUCUCAGGGGCACUGAGAGAUGCAGAUCUCAGAGACUAUUUGGGGAAAAUACCUUAUCUCAGCCCAUUAUUGCCUCUGCUUAAUAUAAACAGUGUUCUACUCCGUGCAUUGAAAGUUUUCUUAAACCAAGGAAACUAGAAAUAAAUACCUCAUUGUCUAGAGGAUUUUAUCACUGUGGUAUGAAAGAAAACCAGCGUGUGACUGUUUUCCAGCAAUAAACCUCUUUCAGUCUCAGGAAGGAUAGUUUUGAUUUUUGAAUUUAUUGCUCUCACAGUUG
rnacentral:lncRNA from 1 species